ACUCCUACGGGAGGCAGCAGUGAGGAAUAUUGGACAAUGGUCGGGAGACUGAUCCAGCCAUGCCGCGUGCAGGAUGACUGCCCUAUGGGUUGUAAACUGCUUUUAUACGGGAAGAAACGCACCUACGUGUAGGUGUCUGACGGUACCGUAAGAAUAAGGACCGGCUAACUCCGUGCCAGCAGCCGCGGUAAUACGGAGGGUCCGAGCGUUAUCCGGAAUCAUUGGGUUUAAAGGGUCCGUAGGCGGGCCGUUAAGUCAGGGUGAAAGUCUGCGGCUCAACCGUAGAAUUGCCUUUGAUACUGGCGGUCUUGAGUCAUGGUGGGGUUGCCGGAACAUGUGGUGUAGCGGUGAAAUGCAUAGAUAUCACAUAGAACACCGAUCGCGAAGGCAGGUGACCAACCAUGUACUGACGCUGAUGGACGAAAGCGUGGGUAGCGAACGGGAUUAGAUACCCUGGUAGGCUCUGC
rnacentral:rRNA from 1 species